rnacentral:hammerhead_ribozyme from 1 species
GUUCAGCCGACGAGUUCCAAAUAGGAUGAAACGUGCGUCCUGGAU